UACUGUGCGUAUGACAUUUUGCAAUAAAAAUAUAUGCACUGCAUAUUUCAGUUGAAUUACUACUUCGGGAAUUAUUUUCAUUGCUUGAAAACGGAUAAAGCGUUAAAUAAGAAAACCAACUGAUUGUGUCUAUUAAUCACUUCGUAAAUAACAUUCAUAAGCGUGAAACAUCAACAGAACAUAACCUCGAGAAUGAAACGGCUUCUCGGCUUUGCUGUGAUUGUGAUUGCUGCGUUAAAUGUUCUGUUCUGUAUCUUGGCCCUGGCACGCAACGACUGGUAUGCUAGUUCUUCUGGAACAGUCAUACGGACUUUGGAAAAUAUGCAUCGACGGCUCCAAGCGUAAUAUAAUAUUGAAAGUGCCAGGGUGCUUUAAAGCAGUUCGAGCUUUUGCCUUCCUCGGCCUUUUCGCUAUGAUUGGGGCGACUGUGACCUUUUUUCUGCACACGCUUAUUAUGAGGGACAAAUCCAUUCUUGUCUACACCUUACAAUCGGGCUCUCGGCGAUCGCAGGUUUUUGUAUGAUGAUGGCGUUCGCAAUCUUUGCUGACAAAGACCCAGAUACCGACUACGGUGCGGGGUUUUACCUCUUCGUGAUCGCCUUUCUCCUCGCAUUGACCGUAACAGGGCUCUGUAUAAAAUUCAUGAUAGAUUAUAUUAAGGCCAAAGUGCAUCAUGGGCCCGUAUUGGAACGGUUGCGGCAAUACGCAACCGAGGGCGGUAGCGAGAAAGCCAAUGUCUACGAAGGUAUGCCAAUGAUACGAUCACAGGCGAAUACAAAUAAUGUAACUAUUGCAUUUAUAGAA